rnacentral:tRNA from 1 species
UCCCCGGUAGCUCAAUUGGUAGAGCGUCCGGCUGUUAACCGGCAGGUUGUUGGUUCAAGUCCAACCCGGGGAGCCA